UAUGCCGAAUGCUUACUGGAUAUAAAUUGGUUAAUCUUUGCUGAGCAUGUUCAUUCUUCUUCAUGGUUACAAAUGGAAAGCAUUAUUUUGUGCUUUUGGGUGUUUUUCUUUUCUUCUUUUUAUUGGAUCAUGUUUAAUUUUUUAACCGUUAAUGUUAAAUAUUAGAGAAAACUUCGUUCGUCAAUUCGUUUUUUAAAUAACCGCGCGAAGCGCGACCAAAUUUACUAGUUUUAUUAAAGAAUCAAAAUAGAGUUUGUACACAAAUAAGCAAAGAAAAGGAAAGUAAAGUAAUUGUCUAGAAAGAAGAGAACAAGACCAAGUGUUCCGAUCUCCUUCUUCUCAUCUGCUACUUCACUGCUCAAGAUCGUUAAUGUUCUUGGUCUUCUUCGAUUCCAGAUAAGUUCCUGUUGAUUUGAAUCCCAUUUUCCUUUUUUGAUUUCCACUCUCUUAGCUGAAUGUUUAUGCUUUGUAGAUCUUCCUUCUUAAUGAAGAUCCGGCUGAGAUUUGUCACCAUUCUUCCAAUUAGAAGCUGCAGAGGAGCAAUUUGAGGAAUUUCUUGAGGUUUGUCACAUGGAGUCGCGCAACACUAUGUAGCUAGACACAACAUUUUAGCUCCAGCGGCAGUGCUAGGAGUUUCACUAAUGGAGUUCAAAAAUAUAAAGAAGUAAACACAAUGUGGGAAAUAGUGCAAAUGGAGGAUGAUUUCACCACAGGAAUUGAAGAACCCUUUCACUAUGAAAAAAAUAAACUCAAUGCUUCUUGUGAAGACCCGGCUGGUAUUGAGUACGAUUCUUCUCGAACUUAGGCGACUGAUAGGACCAAUCAGCCUAAAUCCCAACUGGAUUUAAGAGAGAAUUGUACCUGAGGAAAAAUUACUCUAAAAUGGAUGCUUGUUAUGUCACUCCUUUAUGAAAGAGACAAAGAUCUGUCGCAGAAGUGAGUACUUUUUUUUUAAAAAACAAAAUCAUGAUUUUAGUUACUUAUCUGUCUCAGAUUUCAACUUUAAGAGCCCCAAAAUUAUGGAUGAUACUAUAUCCUCUAGUAGCACUAAAUGAGUGCCUGGAUCGAGCUGAAAUUAGGUUUGUUUGCUCAAUAAAUGCUAGUUUUAGAGUCCUAAUAUGCCUAAAGGUUCAACUUAUUCAUUAUGUAUUGUUAUUUCCCAUCUCUUUGGUUUAAAAUCUUUUCUUGGUAAGAGAGCUAAUAAUGAUUUGAUAUAAGUGAAGAAAGGUAAAUUUAUUAGCCCUCUUUACUUAGAGUUAGUUGGUGACUUUACUUUUUUCUUUUCAUUCCAUUCAAUUCAAACAAAGGAGAAAACUUUGAGGUUUUUCUUCUCUCCUUUCUA